rnacentral:tRNA from 1 species
GGAUAUAGCUCAGUGGUAGAACGCUUGCUUAGCAUGCAGGAGGUCAUGGGUUCAAUCCCCAGUACCUCCA